rnacentral:lncRNA from 1 species
CUCACUUAGAUGGUGUGGAAGCGAAGUCCUUGAUGGAUGAAGAUCGAACUAGCUCACCUGACCAAUCUGAUGUUCUGUCGAUUGCAGCAGGACAUCCCCCUUCAUCUUUCUUUUUAUUUUCCUCUCCAUCUUCUUCCAUCUCCCUCUUCUUCUUCUUACCUUCCUUAUUUUCUUCUCUUGUUCGCAAGAUACUGCUUGGAGCAAUUGUUCUCUCAUUGCAAAGUAUGUAUCAGCUUCUUCUU